CAAAAAAGACACUUCUCAUUUUCUACAAAGUAAAAGAUAAAAUGAAAGCACGGAGCAAAGAAAUUGGAUACAGUAAGUGUGACAGGAUGCCCUCUCCUCUUUCCCUCAACAGGCAGGGGAGGCACAGUUCUCAGCCACAGGACGGCCGCGGGCUUCCCAACCCCCCAACCCUCCGGAGGAGCCACUUUUCUUUUCCCAAACGAUGGGGGCUGGGGGCGUUUGCACAUGGAUAUGAGUCAAGGGACCUACCUCCUCUUUAAAGGAAACGUGAUCGCGAAAUCCUCAAAAUGGCACUUUUAAAAAAUGGCAUGGCCCCUGCAGAGAAGAGAAAUUCCCAAGUAUUUUAAUUCAUUCCCCAUUCUCAGCAGGGACCUUGAACAUUAUUAUGAACAGACAGUUGCUCUCGCACCAAAACAGAAUGAGGUUUUUGUGCUUUUGGAGUAGCGUCUGCUGGGGAGAACUGGUCUGCCUCUGAACGCACCCGUAGGGAUCCUACAUUUUAUUUAAUUUCAUAUCUUACUUUAUGUUUGGGGUUGCAUUUGGAGAAGGGGAUGAUGGUUGGUAAAGAGAAGGCUUUUUCACCUUAGUAACCUCCUAUCUUCCCCGGAACCCCGGCUCGCAGCUCUGGUGACACAGCCUCUCGCUCCUCACUUGGGACCAGAGUGGGCUCACUUGGAGAGCAGGUGCGUGGGGCCGACCACAGAGCUGGCGCUGAUGCCACGAGUGCUAAUGACUGUAGAAGAGGACAACCAGGGGCUCGUAUUCAAGGUCACUGGCAAAGGGACCCAGAGCCAGUUCAGGGGACCAACUGCAGAGAGUUCCAGGUCCUCCUGCAGGCUGAGGCCCACACUGUGAAGCCAUCUCUCCACCAGACCUAGAAACUGCCUCUGGAUUCCUGUCAAAGAACAGCUCUGGUUGGGUGCUUGGGCUCCGGGCUGAAUCACAAAUACCCAAGAACCCCAUGCUGCAGCCUGGCUGACUUCACGCAGCUCUGGCAUGUGGGACACACCAUCAGAGUCGCCUGGGCCCCAACUAACCAGCCCUGGAGCUAAAUAACCACCAUAGAC